CGACUGGCGGCAUGCCUUACACAUGCAAGUCGAACGGCAGCACGGGGGUGACCCUGGUGGCGAGGUGGCGGACGGGUGAGUAAUACAUCGGAACGUAUCCUGGGAGUGGGGGAUAACGUAGCGAAAGUUACGCUAAUACCGCAUAUACUGUGAGCAGGAAAGCAGGGGCUCGCAAGACCUUGCGCUCUGGGAGCGGCCGAUGUCGGAUUAGCUAGUUGGUGGGGUAAAGGCCUACCAAGGCGACGAUCCGUAGCGGGUCUGAGAGGAUGAUCCGCCACACUGGGACUGAGACACGGCCCAGACUCCUACGGGAGGCAGCAGUGGGGAAUUUUGGACAAUGGGCGGAAGCCUGAUCCAGCCAUGCCGCGUGAGUGAAGAAGGCCUUCGGGUUGUAAAGCUCUUUCGGUGGGGAAGAAAUUGCACGGGUUAAUACCCUGUGUAGAUGACGGUACCCGACUAAGAAGCACCGGCUAACUACGUGCCAGCAGCCGCGGUAAUACGUAGGGUGCGAGCGUUAAUCGGAAUUACUGGGC
rnacentral:rRNA from 1 species